GAUGAACGCUGGCGGCGUGCCUAAUACAUGCAAGUCGAGCGAACGGACGAGAAGCUUGCUUCUCUGAUGUUAGCGGCGGACGGGUGAGUAACACGUGGAUAACCUACCUAUAAGACUGGGAUAACUUCGGGAAACCGGAGCUAAUACCGGAUAAUAUUUUGAACCGCAUGGUUCAAAAGUGAAAGACGGUCUUGCUGUCACUUAUAGAUGGAUCCGCGCUGCAUUAGCUAGUUGGUAAGGUAACGGCUUACCAAGGCAACGAUGCAUAGCCGACCUGAGAGGGUGAUCGGCCCACCGGGAAUGGAGACACGUUCAGACCCCUAAGGGAGGGCGCAGUAGGGAAACCUUCGGAAUGGGGGGAAGGCUGACGGAGGAAAGGCGGGUGAGGGAUGAAAGUCUUCCGAUUGUAAAACUCUGUUAAUAGGGAAGAACAUAUGUGUAAGUAACUGUGCACAUCUUGACGGUACCUAAUCAGAAAGCCACGGCUAACUACGUG
rnacentral:rRNA from 1 species